AGAACGAACGCUGGCGGCAUGCCUAAUACAUGCAAGUCGAACGAACACUUCGGUGUUAGUGGCGCACGGGUGCGUAACGCGUGGGAAUCUGCCCUUGGGUUCGGAAUAACAGUUGGAAACGACUGCUAAUACCGGAUGAUAUCGAAAGAUCAAAGAUUUAUCGCCCAGGGAUGAGCCCGCGUAGGAUUAGCUAGUUGGUGAGGCAAAGGCUCACCAAGGCGACGAUCCUUAGCUGGUCUGAGAGGAUGAUCAGCCACACUGGGACUGAGACACGGCCCAGACUCCUACGGGAGGCAGCAGUAGGGAAUAUUGGACAAGUGGGCGACAAGCCUGACUCCAGCAAUCGCCGCGUGAGUGAGUGAAGGUCCGUUAGGGUUAGUAAGUCUUCGUUUUACCCGAGUAGUGUAAUAAUGACGAGUACGUA
rnacentral:rRNA from 1 species